GCUGUGGCUCAGUGGUAGAGCAUUUGCCUUGCAUACAAAAUUCACAGGUUCAAUCCCCAACAUCUCCA